UACGUAGGGUGCAAGCGUUGUCCGGAAUUAUUGGGCGUAAAGAGCUCGUAGGCGGUCCGUCACGUCGGGCGUGAAAACCCAGGGCUCAACCCUGGGCCUGCGUUCGAUACGGGCGGACUAGAGUUCGGUAGGGGAGACUGGAAUUCCUGGUGUAGCGGUGAAAUGCGCAGAUAUCGGGAGGAACACCAGUGGCGAAGGCGACUACCUGGCCUGUUCUUGACGCUGAGGCGCGAAAGCUAGGGGAGCAAACGGG
rnacentral:rRNA from 1 species